rnacentral:lncRNA from 1 species
GGGCUCUGAAGGUUAAACCUAUUUGGUAACUUUGAGAGAGCCACUUAGUUUCCCAGGUCUCUGUGACUUAGGAUAUCUCAGAAUAUUAUUAUCCUCCCUUUACAGACAAGGAAGCUGAGGGGUGAGUGAUGACUGACUUCCUAAGGCCACACAGCUGGCAAACGGCAGAGCCAAGCUUGGGGCGGGUCUGUCCGCCUGGCUAUAAGCCUGCAUGAUUUCACCUAUGUCACUCAUUCUCCAAGAUUCUUAAACAAGGAGGUUGAUUGGAUGGUUUCUAAAUUUCCUUCCACUUCUAAUGUCUCAUGUGCUAUCAGGGCAUACUUAUCACAUGGAGACAGAAGCCUUCCUCAGUUCAUGUACCUGGUUUUAGUGCUAUUUAUUUACAGAAGGGUUAAAACUGAUUCUUGCCAUCUUGCAGAAGUCUCUUCCAAGCAACAAGAUGUUCCGUGACAUCCUUUCGAAUUCCAAAUGUUUUAGCUAUGGGGAAUGUCUGAUCUGCUAAAGUAAUUUAUUUAUUAACUGUCUUUUUUAUAGAGCAUUUUAACAAGAUAAGAUAAAUGGCCAAAAGUACUUAGUGCAUACUAUUGCAAUUGGGAACUUUGCGUGGUAAAGGAUAAAUAGAUAAUUAAGUAGAGAAAAGUUUUCGUGAGCUGAAAUGGUCACUUUAAAAAGGAUGCUUUAAAAAAAAAAAUCAACACUGCUUAAAAGGAUUUAUUUCCUUUCCAAAUGUUUGUAUAAGAAAGGGUGACAUUUAUUUCCACUUUCAGCAGGUCUUCUGCUCCUACAACAGAAUCUCCAAUGGCAAUCAACUGAGCGACAAAUCUUUCCCCUUCGCCUUGUAGGAUAAAGCCGAGCCCAGUGAAAGGAAAAUGAAAGUACAGCAAAGAGGGGUGCUUAAACUUGGGCUGACCACCAGAAGCGGGGCAGAGAGACCCGCAGCUACAGUGAUUCUGAUCAACCAGCCACCAGGGAAACAACGACAGAAGCCUUCACCAGUGCAGGCUCUCCAUUUGGUGCACUUUCUAGGUGCCCUCUCCCUUUCUUCCUUAGUAUCUGAACCCUGAUUUUAUGUAAGGCUGCAAUCCACCCAGAGAAGAACAUAUUUUCCAGUAUCUUUUGCAACUAGUAGUGACCACAUGGUUAAGCUCUGGCCAAUGGGAUGUAAACCUAAGUGUUGCCUGGGACUUUGGGGCAGGCUGCUUUAAGGGGACAGACUCAGUGAGCAGAUGUUCUCUCUGCCCUUUACCUUUCCUCUUUCUUGUGCCCUUAAAUAACCUGUAAUGACUGGAGCUUCAGCAGCCUUCUGGGACUGGGAAGUGACCUUCAGGAUAGAAGCCAGCGCUGGGACA